rnacentral:rRNA from 1 species
UCGUACGCGAAAGGGGCUUCGGCCCUGAGUAGAGUGGCAAACGGGUGAGUAACACGUGGGUGACCUGCCUUCGAGUGGGGGAUAACGUCCCGAAAGGGACGCUAAUACCGCAUGACAUCCUGCUCUUGGAAGAGCGGAGAUCAAAGCCGGGGAUCGCAAGACCUGGCGCUUGGAGAGGGGCCCGCGUCUGAUUAGCUAGUUGGUAGGGUAAUGGCCUACCAAGGCGACGAUCAGUAUCCGGCCUGAGAGGGCGGACGGACACACUGGGACUGAGACACGGCCCAGACUCCUACGGGAGGCAGCAGUGGGGAAUUGUUCGCAAUGGGCGCAAGCCUGACGACGCAACGCCGCGUGGAGGAUGAAGAUCUUCGGGUCGUAAACUCCUGUCGAGCGGGACGAACACCUGGCUGGCUAAUAUCCGGCCAGGCUGACGGUACCGCUAAAGGAAGCCCCGGCUAACUCCGUGCCAGCAGCCGCGGUAAUACGGGGGGGGCAAGCGUUG